rnacentral:lncRNA from 1 species
GUGUUUCUGUGGUUGCAUUUACACAGGGCGGUGGCGGCGGCGGUGGUGGUGAUGGUGACGGUGCUGUGCUACAGAUGGAGUCUGGAUCUGUCACGCAGGCUGGAGUGCAGUCGCGCGAUCUCAGCUCACUGCAACCUAUGCCUCCCAGGUCAAGCGAUUCUCCUGCCUCGGCCUCCCAAGGAACUGGAACCACAGGCGCGCGCCACUGCGCCCAAGGAUUUUCACUUUUAACUGUACAGUGAAGCACAGACUUCUGAGCCAGACUGCUUGGUCUGAACUCUGGUGUCACCACUUAGUAAGUUCUGGUUUGAAUGUACUCACUGAGUGGUCUUCAUAAAUUACCUCUCUGCACUUGAGUCUCCUGUCUGUAAAAUGGGGAUAAUAAUCAUUACAACGAAGCCUCAUAGGAUUCUGGUGGAGACCAAAUGCAUUAAUACAUAUGCAAAGCAUUUGGAACAGCUGGCAUAUAUAAGUGCCAUAUAUCUAUUAUUAAAAAUUUUUAAAUUAUAGAAUGGAUUAAUUUUUGGAUUUUAUAAGCAGAUUCCGCCCCCCGCCCCGCCUUAAAACUGUUAUGAAAAAGCAAGAAAGGCCAGGUGCAGUGGCUCACGCCUGUAAUCCCAGCACUUUGGGAGGCCAAGGUGGGCGGAUCACGAGGUCAGGAGUUCAAGACCAGCCUGGCCAACAUGGUGAAACCCUGUCUCUAGUAAAAACACAAAAAUUAGCUGGGCGUGCGGGCACCUGUAAUCCCAGCUACUUGGGAGGCUGAAGCAGGAGAAUUGCUGCCACUGCGGAGGUUGC